UACGGGGGGGGCAAGCGUUGUUCGGAAUGACUGGGCGUAAAGGGCGCGUAGGCGGUUUGUUUCGUUAGGCGUGAAAUUCCUGGGCUCAACCUGGGGACUGCGCUUAAGACAAGCAGACUGGAGUGUGAAAGAGGGUCGUGGAAUUCCCAGUGUAGAGGUGAAAUUCGUAGAUAUUGGGAAGAACACCGGUGGCGAAGGCGGCGACCUGGUUCAUUACUGACGCUGAGGCGCGAAAGCGUGGGGAGCAAACAGG
rnacentral:rRNA from 1 species